UGUAUGUUCCGCUGUAAAAUUUUAAAAAUGCAUGCAUAAAACCACCAUGCUUCCCUUUACUGGCAUCCUCCAAAUCUUUCUACUCAGGUUCCACGAUCUCAGAUAGAGGUCCAAAAUUUUUCAAACUUGAAUGGAGUCCCGGGUAAGUGUGGGCCAUUGAUGGUGAUGAGAAAAGGGCGGUGGUUUGAAGCGAUCCUUGGAAGGUGCCACAUCUGAUAUCCAAAAAAAUGUGAAACUAGUUGGUGGUGGCAAGCAUCCGAUCAAUCCUCCCCCAAACCUUGGCUAUCCUUUGUCGAUUGUUACACCAGAUAAAUCUAGAUUUAGUAUAGCCAAGGUCAAUCAGGCCCAAGUCAUUAAUGAACUCCCUAAAUUUUUUAGGGUCAUUACUAUCAACAUACUGCCUACCAUCUAUCUUCUCAUGAGAUCCCACAAUAUAGUUGAAGUCUCUGGCGACAAGAGAGGACAGGCUUUGUGCCACCAUUCUGGAGAUCUUGGAGCAAAGCACCCUCCACUCCAUAUACUCGGUGCUCGCGUAUAUACCCGACAGAAGCUAAGGGCCUUCAGUCUGCUAUGAGAUGACUAAUGCUACCUACUGCUCGCACCUACAAAAAGUAUCCAUCCUGAUCAAGUUGUGACGUCAUAGCACCAUGAUCCCCUUAAACAGACCCCUGAAAUCCAUUGUGUAGAUGCUCCACGCUAGCAUAAUCCAUCUUUCAGCCUGAGCAAGGCUCACCCUCAAAAGACGGGUCUCAAGCAGGACACAGAUAUUAAGGCAGCACUACUAGAUGAUUCUUUCAAACGUCAUCCAAAAUGAGGGCUUUCCCACCCUCCAAAUAUUCUAAAUCAGCAGCUUCAUUGAGGCAACUAGCUAGGAAGGGGAUCCACACCAGUACCCAUCUCAAUCUGAAUGUCAACCUCCAUACCUGCUGCCAUCGAGUCCAUUACUGACGGACUCCCCUCCUCCCCUAGAUGGCUUCCUCAAUUGGACCACUACCUCAUUGUGAUCCAUGUCCAGGUUAUCCAUCGAGGGAUCCAUAUGCUCUAGGUCGCCCUCCAUCAUAAGCACUAGUCCCUGCUCAGAAUGCUCCACCACCGUCGAGGCACCAAGGUCAGCCACCAAUAUAUCCAUCUAAAAUGUGGCCAUUUCCUCUU
rnacentral:lncRNA from 1 species